GGUGCCCUUUCUGAUGACUGGAAGAAAGAAUUUUGGAAACUACCAUAGUUAUCACUUUGCUGCUUCUAUUUCCCAAAUCCUGCUGCUGAUGAGACAGACAUCUCUGCUCUAAUAUGGCCAGUGCUAACUCUGGAAAGUAUGUUUGCCGCUUACGCAGGGUAAUGAUGACGAUGCAUAAUGCUACGGCUAGUAUUUAUGCUAUGGAGCACUCUUCAUCUCCAGGGCAGAUAAAAGGCCUUAGUAGAUUGAUCUUCAGAGCACCCCCUGUGAGCGGUACACAGUGACCACCCCAGAGCCAGCACAGAGAAUCUCUGAAAAUAUACUGCGUUGUAUCGGUGGAAGUGCAGAGCUCAGUGGUUUCCCUUUAGUUCUGAUGGUGACUGUUUUGGGGUCUCAGGAAUUUUUUGUAAUGGAAGAUGUUUGUCCUAGAGAGAAGUUCAUGCAAGUAACAUUCCUCUUAAUCUCCACAUUUCUUUGCUUUUAUUGUUGAACAAAAGUACCAGUUGCUUAGAAAAUUGUCCCAGAUUUGCUUCUCCAAACCUCUCGGGAACUGAAUUUGAGUUCAUGCCCAGAGUGGAUAAGGAUUUCCCAGAAGCAUUUUAGUGGUCAGUCCAGUUGAAAGGCAAGAAUAAGUCUCUUCACACAUAUUCUUCCUUCUUAAGAUAUACAAAAUCUGUAUCUGGCAAACGCAGCGUCAGGUGAUGCAGUUUUAUGGCUGAACAUCAAGUACUUGGUACCAAUCAGUUCAGGAGAAUUUGGCUGGUAUUACUCAAGGUAAGAAUCUGCAUAACCUGUGUUAUUGGCUGGGCAUGAUGUUCAGUUUACACCAUCCUGUUACAUUUCCCAGAAAGAAGGUGGGUGUUACAGUCUAGUUAUCUUCAUUUAUUUCAGAGUUUACCAUUUUUUUUCAGACUAAUUUGACUAAACAGAAUCUGUUUAAAAGGAAAUGAUAGUGAUAGUAGAUUUUCCCCUAUUCUUGAUGUACCAGCAGAUCUUAUUUUGUUUCUCUUUGCAGAACUUUCAACUGCAAGUUCCUCUAUUUACAGAUUUGACACCUAAUUAAUAAUCAGAUUCAGAUUACAAUAUUAGUCUACCAGAUUGCAAUUUUCCACAAGGACAAAUAAAAUGUUUAAAAUAU
rnacentral:lncRNA from 7 species